AACGAGGACAUUUGCUCAGAUUUGACUGUAACCUUUACUUCAGGAGAGUGCAGAGGUUCUUCCUUUGACUUCACCAAAAGCAUCAGUGUUGAUUUCUUAAAUUCCAGUGAAAUACAGCAGAUUAAACCCACUGGACUUCCUGCAGAAAUUUACACAACAUUACCUGAUUUACCAAAGUGUAAAAACCUCUCAGUUAGUAACUACACCUGUUCAG